CAAGAUGUAGCUAAACUAGCAAAGCAUCUCACUUACACUGAGAAGAUACCCGUGCAAAUCGGGCCAUCCUGA
rnacentral:tRNA from 1 species